rnacentral:rRNA from 1 species
GCAAGUCGAGGGGUAACAGGGAUUGCUUGCAAUCUGAUGACGAGUGGCGAACGGGUGCGUAACGCGUAUGCAACCUACCUUCAAUCGGGGAAUACCCCAGAGAAAUUUGGAAUAAUACCCCAUAGUACAACAAAUUCGCAUGUUUUUGUUGUUAAAGUUUAGGCGAUUGAAGAUGGGCAUGCGUGACAUUAGUUAGUUGGUAAGGUAACGGCUUACCAAGACUACGAUGUCUAGGGGUUCUGAGAGGAUGAUC